GAUCCUGGCUCAGAUUGAACGCUGGCGGCAUGCCUUACACAUGCAAGUCGAACGGUAGAGUAGCAAUACUUGAGAGUGGCGAACGGGUGAGUAAUAUAUCGGAACGUGCCCAGUCGUGGGGGAUAACGUAGAGAAAUUUACGCUAAUACCGCAUACGAUCUAAGGAUGAAAGCGGGGGAUUCGCAAGAACCUCGCGCGAUUGGAGCGGCUGAUAUCAGAUUAGGUUGUUGGUGAGGUAAAAGCUCACCAAGCCGACGAUCUGUAGCUGGUUUGAGAGAACGACCAGCCACACUGGGACUGAGACACGGCCCAGACUCCUACGGGAGGCAGCAGUGGGGAAUUUUGGACAAUGGGCGAAAGCCUGAUCCAGCAAUGCCGCGUGCAGGAAGAAGGCCUUCGGGUUGUAAACUGCUUUUGUACGGAACGAAAAGGCUCUUUCUAAUAAAGAGGGCCCAUGACGGUACCGUAAGAAUAAGCACCGGCUAACUACGUG
rnacentral:rRNA from 1 species